rnacentral:rRNA from 1 species
GACGAACGCUGGCGGCGUGCCUAAUACAUGCAAGUAGAACGCUGAAGCUUGGUGCUUGCCCCGAGCGGAUGAGUUGCGAACGGGUGAGUAACGCGUAGGUAACCUGCCUGGUAGCGGGGGAUAACUAUUGGAAACGAUAGCUAAUACCGCAUAAUAGUAGAUGUUGCAUGACAUUUGCUUAAAAGGUGCAAUUGCAUCACUACCAGAUGGACCUGCGUUGUAUUAGCUAGUUGGUGAGGUAACGGCUCACCAAGGCAACGAUACAUAGCCGACCUGAGAGGGUGAUCGGCCACACUGGGACUGAGACACGGCCCAGACUCCUACGGGAGGCAGCAGUAGGGAAUCUUCGGCAAUGGACGGAAGUCUGACCGAGCAACGCCGCGUGAGUGAAGAAGGUUUUCGGAUCGUAAAGCUCUGUUGUAAGAGAAGAACGAGUGUGAGAGUGGAAAGUUCACACUGUGACGGUAUCUUACCAGAAAGGGACGGCUAACUACGUG